UACAUAGGGUGCAAGCGUUAAUCGGAAUUACUGGGCGUAAAGCGUGCGCAGGCGGUUAUGUAAGACAGUUGUGAAAUCCCCGGGCUCAACCUGGGAACUGCAUCUGUGACUGCAUAGCUAGAGUACGGUAGAGGGGGAUGGAAUUCCGCGUGUAGCAGUGAAAUGCGUAGAUAUGCGGAGGAACACCGAUGGCGAAGGCAAUCCCCUGGACCUGUACUGACGCUCAUGCACGAAAGCGUGGGGAGCAAACAGG
rnacentral:rRNA from 1 species